UUAAAUGAAAGUAAAAAGUCAUACAUUAAUCCAAAAAGUCAAGAUCAAACAAAACAUUUGUCCAAAAAUAUAUUUAAAAAAAUAAUGCAUUUAAACAUAAACUAUUGGGUAUGUCUAAUCCCCUGCCUCUUCCUCCGCCUGUACUGCACGAUAUUCCGUAACUCGACAAUCAUGUUAUCCACGAGGGUCAACUGGGAACUUUCAUCCUCAAAGAGUCAUGCCUUUAUGUCUG
rnacentral:lncRNA from 1 species